rnacentral:tRNA from 1 species
GGCCCUAUAGCAUUAAUUGGUUAGAUCGUGAGCCUUUCAAGCUCAAGGAAUGAGUUCAAAUCUCGUUAGGGUCACCA